CUGGCCGUAAACGAUGAAUGCUAGGUGUGCGUGCAGCGAUGCAUACGUGCCGCAGUUAACGCGAUAAGCAUUCCGCCUGGGGAGUACGGUCGCAAGAUUGAAACUCAAAGGAAUUGACGGGGGCCCGCACAAGCGGUGGAGCACGUGGUUUAAUUCGAUGCAAACCGAAGAACCUUACCCGGGUUUGACAUGUACGUAUUACUGAGAUGAAAGUUGAAGGAGUCAUUCGUAAGGGUGACAGCGUACACAGGUGC
rnacentral:rRNA from 1 species